rnacentral:rRNA from 1 species
GGCGGCACGCCUAACACAUGCAAGUCGAACGAAGUAGCAAUACUUAGUGGCAGACGGGUGAGUAACAUGUAGGUAUCUGCCCUUUGGCCUGGAAUAACACGAGGAAACUUGUGCUAAUACCGGAUAAGUCUUUACGGAGAAAGCUUUAUGCACCAUUGGAUGAGCCUGCACUUGAUUAGUUUGUUGGUGGGGUAAUGGCCUACCAAGACUGUGAUCAAUAGCUGAUUUGAGAGGAUGAUCAGCCACAUUGGGACUGAGACACGGCCCAAACUCCUACGGGAGGCAGCAGUGGGGAAUCUUGCACAAUGGAGGAAACUCUGAUGCAGCGAUGCCGCGUGAGUGAAGAAGGCCUUUGGGUUGUAAAGCUCUUUCGUCGGGGAAGAAAAUGACUGUACCCGAAUAAGAAGGUCCGGCUAACUUCGUGCCAGCAGCCGCGGUAAUACGAAGGGACCUAGCGUAGUUCGGAAUUACUGGGCUUAAAGAGUUCGUAGGUGGUUGAAAAAGUUAGUGGUGAAAUCCCAGAGCUUAACUCUGGAACUGCCAUUAAAACUUUUCAGCUAGAGUAUGAUAGAGGAAAGCAGAAUUUCUAGUGUAGAGGUGAAAUUCGUAGAUAUUAGAAAGAAUACCAAUUGCGAAGGCAGCUUUCUGGAUCAUUACUGACACUGAGGAACGAAAGCAUGGGUAGCGAAGAGGAUUAGAUACCCUCGUAGUCCAUGCCGUAAACGAUGUGUGUUAGACGUUGGAAAUUUAUUUUCAGUGUCGCAGCGAAAGCGAUAAACACACCGCCUGGGGAGUACG